ACUUCUAAAAACGAGUUUUUCGCAGACUUUCGUCAACUUUUACAGACGUUUCAAUUGGUCAGUCUUGUGUGUCAUAUUUUAUAGAGAAAUGCAAGUCCGCAGACAUUUUUUUGGAUUCACGGAUAUUUGCAACCGUGUCUGAAGAAGUUUAAAAUUUUUAUCUGGCAUCUCUGAUGUUAUUUACAACAAAGCAAAUACGAAAACAUUUCUGUACCCGCAUCGAUUGCUGAUGCGUUCUUUAUUUCGAAUUUAUCAUUGAAAAGAAUAAGAUUACAUUCCAUAUUCAUAUCGAAGUGUCAUGUAGUUAAAAAUUCCUUAGAGCAACGAAUCAUCAUUUCUUUAUAUCUGGUGAUUGCAAUCUGUUUUACGAGGAAAAUUGGAAGCCUUUCCAUAGGUGUCGAUGCCAUUAUUUCGAUCAAGUCGAAGAAUCAUGAGUACAAGCUAUCCCAAGGCCCCUCUGGGAGUUCGACUAGCGACUGCUCUCAGUGCCAGGUUUUGUCCUCGGCUACAAAUCAAUCGAGUGCUCUGGUUCAGAUGUUCAGUACUAACGUUAACCUAUCUAGCAUAUAUGUGUUAUCACAUGACAAGGAAGCCCAUAUCCGUUGUGAAAUCAGUACUGCACCGAAACUGCUCCGAUGUUCGAUUGCCUGCAGAGUUUAUACGCAGUGCUGGUGAACCGCCAAACGAUAGCACCUGGUGUGACUAUCCACCAUUCGACAGUCCCGAUUCUGCCGCGCUAUUCGGUUCGCUAGAUUCAGCGUUUUUAUUCAGCUAUGCUAUAGCAAUGUUCUUUUCUGGUUUCAUUGCCGAACGGGUUUCGUUGCGGUACUAUUUGUCUCUUGGAAUGCUGUUCUCCGGAAUUUUUUGCUAUCUCUUCGGUAUGGCCAAGGUAUACGACAUCCAUUCAAUGGCAUAUUUCAUAUUUGUUCAAGCUAUGGCAGGGAUGUUCCAAACAACCGGAUGGCCCGGUGUGGUAACCGUUGUGGGGCGAUGGUUUGAAAGAUCGAAGCGUGGUUUGAUCUUUGGUAUCUGGAAUAGCCACACGUCGAUUGGAAAUAUUUUGGGAAUCUUUUUGGCUGCCUAUUAUGUGGAAAAUGAUUGGGCUAUGUCGUUCAUCGUGCCAGGAUUUUUAAUGGGAGUAUUUGGGUUUAUUAUAUUCUUGUUUUUGGUUGACCGGCCGGAGAUUGUGGAUUGUCAGGAGAAAGUUGGAGAUAUAAAGGGUGGCUACAGUAGGAUAGACAACGGUAGGAUUGGAGAAUCGACUGGACAUUUCGAUAGCGAUGAAGCGACAGUUACUACCACUGAUCAGCAAAAUCCUUCCUUAAGAAGUUUGCAUGGAAGCUUUUCUUCUUACGUAGAUAUUGACGAACGCACACCGAUUAUGGGAAGCAUCAACCGUAACACCGCAGCAGUGAUGCCGAUACAAGAAGAUGCAAUUGGCUUCGCUGGAGCACUAAAAAUUCCUGGAGUCAUCGAAUUCUCUCUUAGUUUAUUCUUCUCUAAACUAGUAAACUAUACAUUCCUCUUCUGGCUUCCACUGUACAUUCAGUCAUCUACUAGCCUUGGUUCUGAAUUAAGUGCCGUUAUUUCGGCAUCUUUCGAUAUCGGAGGCAUUGUAGGUGCAAUUGCUGCUGGCAUUAUUUCAGACUCAACCGGAAUGUCUGCGAGUACCUGCUCUGGGAUGCUUCUAUUAGCUGCCCCGACUUUGCUUGUAUAUCAAAAGUGGGGUUCGAUCUCGUCAGCUUUAAAUAUAUGCCUACUCUUUUUGUCUGGAGUGCUUGUGAAUGGUCCUUAUGCUCUUAUUACAACUUCAAUCAGUGCUGAGUUAGGUCAGCAUAGUUCAUUGAAUGGUAAUUCGAAAGCUUUGGCUACAGUUACGGCUAUCAUCGAUGGAACUGGUUCCAUUGGAGCGGCUGUAGGCCCACUUUUUGCCGGUUUGAUAUCGCCCUCAGGAUGGCAAAACGUUUUUUAUAUGCUAAUAGUUUCGGACAUUCUGGCAUUGCUGUUACUGUUGCGACUGGUCGCAAAGGAGCUAAACCGCCGAUCACGGAGACGAAACGUUCGCAUAGAGUGAUAUAAUAGGAUUUAUAAAUAGGCAAUUUUCAAGAAGGAUGCUGUCCAUUAUAUAUGCAUAAAUUUUUUUAUGAACCUAACAAAAUGAAUAAUAUAUUAAAUUUGAACGAAACUUCCCGAACAGUGAAUGACUUGCAAACUUAAGUACAAAAAAAGAUCCACCAAUCGAUUGCACCACCGACCAU